GGGUUGUGAGGUUAAGCGACUAAGCGUACACGGUGGAUGCCCUGGCAGUCAGAGGCGAUGAAGGGCGUGCUAAUCUGCGAUAAGCGCCGGUAAGGUGAUAUGAACCGUUAUAACCGGCGAUACCCGAAUGGGGAAACCCAGUGUGACUCGUCACACUAUCAUUAACUGAAUCCAUAGGUUAAUGAGGCGAACCGGGGGAACUGAAACAUCUAAGUACCCCGAGGAAAAGAAAUCAACCGAGAUUCCCCCAGUAGCGGCGAGCGAACGGGGAGGAGCCCAGAGCCUGAAUCAGCAUGUGUGUUAGUGGAAGCGUCUGGAAAGGCGCGCGAUACAGGGUGACAGCCCCGUACACAAAAGCGCAUGUGCUGUGAGCUCGAUGAGUAGGGCGGGACACGUGGUAUCCUGUCUGAAUAUGGGGGGACCAUCCUCCAAGGCUAAAUACUCCUGACUGACCGAUAGUGAACCAGUACCGUGAGGGAAAGGCGAAAAGAACCCCGGCGAGGGGAGUGAAAAAGAACCUGAAACCGUGUACGUACAAGCAGUGGGAGCCCCACCACCAAAGCAUUCUCUGGUGUUGAAGGCCCUGCAAAGCAGCAUCGCGGUGGCGGAGCGUCGUUUGCGACGCCCAACACACAAAACAAGCGGUGAAUGCUUUGGGGUGGGGUGACUGCGUACCUUUUGUAUAAUGGGUCAGCGACUUAUAUUCUGUAGCAAGGUUAACCGAAUAGGGGAGCCGGAGGGAAACCGAGUCUUAAUUGGGCGUUAAGUUGCAGGGUAUAGACCCGAAACCCGGUGAUCUAGCCAUGGGCAGGUUGAAGGUUGGGUAACACUAACUGGAGGACCGAACCGACUAAUGUUGAAAAAUUAGCGGAUGACCUGUGGCUGGGGGUGAAAGGCCAAUCAAACCGGGAGAUAGCUGGUUCUCCCCGAAAGCUAUUUAGGUAGCGCCUCGUGAAUUCAUCUCCGGGGGUAGAGCACUGUUUCGGCUAGGGGGCCAUCCCGGCUUACCAACCCGAUGCAAACUGCGAAUACCGGAGAAUGUUAUCACGGGAGACACACGGCGGGUGCUAACGUCCGUCGUGAAGAGGGAAACAACCCAGACCGCCAGCUAAGGUCCCAAAGUCAUGGUUAAGUGGGAAACGAUGUGGGAAGGCCCAGACAGCCAGGAUGUUGGCUUAGAAGCAGCCAUCAUUUAAAGAAAGCGUAAUAGCUCACUGGUCGAGUCGGCCUGCGCGGAAGAUGUAACGGGGCUAAACCAUGCACCGAAGCUGCGGCAGCGACGCUGAUGCGUUGUUGGGUAGGGGAGCGUUCUGUAAGCCUGCGAAGGUGACCUGUGAGGGUUGCUGGAGGUAUCAGAAGUGCGAAUGCUGACAUAAGUAACGAUAAAGCGGGUGAAAAGCCCGCUCGCCGGAAGACCAAGGGUUCCUGUCCAACGUUAAUCGGGGCAGGGUGAGUCGACCCCUAAGGCGAGGCCGAAAGGCGUAGUCGAUGGGAAACGGGUUAAUAUUCCCGUACUUGGUGUUACUGCGAAGGGGGGACGGAGAAGGCUAUGUUGGCCGGGCGACGGUUGUCCCGGUUUAAGCGUGUAGGUGUGUGUUCCAGGUAAAUCCGGUUCACUUUAACACUGAGGCGUGAUGACGAGGCACUACGGUGCUGAAGCAACAAAUGCCCUGCUUCCAGGAAAAGCCUCUAAGCAUCAGGUAACAUCAAAUCGUACCCCAAACCGACACAGGUGGUCAGGUAGAGAAUACCAAGGCGCUUGAGAGAACUCGGGUGAAGGAACUAGGCAAAAUGGUGCCGUAACUUCGGGAGAAGGCACGCUGACACGUAGGUGAAGUGAUUUACUCACGGAGCUGAAGUCAGUCGAAGAUACCAGCUGGCUGCAACUGUUUAUUAAAAACACAGCACUGUGCAAACACGAAAGUGGACGUAUACGGUGUGACGCCUGCCCGGUGCCGGAAGGUUAAUUGAUGGGGUCAGCGCAAGCGAAGCUCCUGAUCGAAGCCCCGGUAAACGGCGGCCGUAACUAUAAUGGUCCUAAGGUAGCGAAAUUCCUUGUCGGGUAAGUUCCGACCUGCACGAAUGGCGUAAUGAUGGCCAGGCUGUCUCCACCCGAGACUCAGUGAAAUUGAACUCGCUGUGAAGAUGCAGUGUACCCGCGGCAAGACGGAAAGACCCCGUGAACCUUUACUAUAGCUUGACACUGAACAUUGAGCCUUGAUGUGUAGGAUAGGUGGGAGGCUUUGAAGUGUGGACGCCAGUCUGCAUGGAGCCGACCUUGAAAUACCACCCUUUAAUGUUUGAUGUUCUAACGUGGACCCGUAAUCCGGGUUGCGGACAGUGUCUGGUGGGUAGUUUGACUGGGGCGGUCUCCUCCUAAAGAGUAACGGAGGAGCACGAAGGUUGGCUAAUCCUGGUCGGACAUCAGGAGGUUAGUGCAAUGGCAUAAGCCAGCUUGACUGCGAGCGUGACGGCGCGAGCAGGUGCGAAAGCAGGUCAUAGUGAUCCGGUGGUUCUGAAUGGAAGGGCCAUCGCUCAACGGAUAAAAGGUACUCCGGGGAUAACAGGCUGAUACCGCCCAAGAGUUCAUAUCGACGGCGGUGUUUGGCACCUCGAUGUCGGCUCAUCACAUCCUGGGGCUGAAGUAGGUCCCAAGGGUAUGGCUGUUCGCCAUUUAAAGUGGUACGCGAGCUGGGUUUAGAACGUCGUGAGACAGUUCGGUCCCUAUCUGCCGUGGGCGCUGGAGAACUGAGGGGGGCUGCUCCUAGUACGAGAGGACCGGAGUGGACGCAUCACUGGUGUUCGGGUUGUCAUGCCAAUGGCACUGCCCGGUAGCUAAAUGCGGAAGAGAUAAGUGCUGAAAGCAUCUAAGCACGAAACUUGCCCCGAGAUGAGUUCUCCCUGAGACUUUAGGUCUCCUGAAGGAACGUUGAAGACGACGACGUUGAUAGGCCGGGUGUGUAAGCGCAGCGAUGCGUUGAGCUAACCGGUACUAAUGAACCGUGAGGCUUAACCUUACAACGCCGAAG
rnacentral:rRNA from 1 species